rnacentral:sRNA from 1 species
UAACGUUAAAAACCGACGCUCUGCUUGC